CCGGCUGUCUAAGUCACAACCACUUUCUUCAGGGAAGGGCUCUCUACAGUCUCGCCAGCUCAACAUGCUGAGUUACACCAGGCAACACCAACCUGGCUCUGCCAGUCCCUAGCGUGUCAAGGCAUCCCUGAGAGUUACACACCUACGUCUUGGGCAGAAUGCUCAUUCAUGACAGGCCUAAGUGACACUGUGUUGGCCCUGUUCCCAUCUGUGACACGGAAAGACUACUCCAAGGUUCACAGCAAGAAGGUUCUUUCCUAAAUUGACCUAGGAGCCUGAGAAAUCAAUUUCAGUUUGGGGAAUUGAUUAGAGCUUUCCCAUGGAAAGGAACACAUAGAAUGAAUGAUCCAGGAGGAAGGUUUCGGGGUCUUCCACUGCAUGAGAAUGGAGGACGGAGGAUGGGCAAUCGGUCUGAAAAACGAACAUCUGGCUGGGGAGCCUGAGUCUUUGUAAAUACUGCAUCCUUGGCAUGUCGCUUAACUUCGGUAAGCUCAGUUUCUUUAGUUGUCAAAAUGGAUAACAAAGUGUCUAGUUCUCAGGGGUGUUAGAAGGACAAAACAGACCGUAGGAGAAUAUUUUGUCCUAUCCCAUGAAGUCCCUUCCCUCCUGACUCUUUGUCAUCGCCUUCCUAAGUCCUUGACUGGCACAGAGAAUCAUUCAGUGAAAGAAACUGUUAUUCUAAC
rnacentral:lncRNA from 1 species